CCUACGGGUGGCAGCAGUAGGGAAUCUUUCACAAUGGGCGAAAGCCUGAUGGAGCAACGCCGCGUGCAGGAUGAAGGCCUUCGGGUUGUAAACUGCUUUUAUAAGCGAGAAAUAUGAUGGUACCUUAUGAAUAAGGAUCGGCUAACUACGUGCCAGCAGCCGCGGUCAUACGUAGGAUCCGAGCAUUAUCCGGAGUGACUGGGUGUAAAGAGUUGCGUAGGUGGCAUAAUAAGUAGCUAGUGAAAUCUGGUGGCUCAACCAUUCAGACUAUUAGCUAAACUGUUAAGCUCGAGACCGUUAGGGGUAACUGGAAUUUCUAGUGUAGGAGUGAAAUGCGUAGAUAUUAGAAGGAACACCAAUAGCGUAGGCAGGUUACUGGGACGGUUCUGACACUAAGGCACGAAAGCGUAGGGAGCAAACGGGAUUAGAUACCCGAGUAGUC
rnacentral:rRNA from 1 species